rnacentral:rRNA from 1 species
UGGAAGUAAAAAGUCGUACCACGUUCCGUAGUGACCUGCGAAGGAUCAUGUCGAACCUGCUAGCAGAAGACCGAGACAUGUUCAACGCUGGGGGCGGAAGGGUCUUGGGCUAUUGCGCCCCCUUAUCCUAGGAGGCAAGGGUCUUGCGGGUUGCAUUUCGGGGCUUUCGCUGGAUCGACCCUCCCAGGCGUACUGAACACCGGCGUGAAUUGCGCCAAGGAACUUGAAGGAAAGAGCGUUCCCCCGCCGUCCCGGAGACGGUGUUCGUGCGGGUGGUUUCUUCGUCUUCAAUAUGUUUAAACGACUUUUGGCAACGGAUAUUUUGGCUUUUGCAUCGAUGAAGAAGGUAGGGAAAUGGGAUACUUGGUGGGAAUUGCAGAAUCCCGUGAACCAUCGAGUCUUUGAACGCAAGUUGCGCCCGAAGCCAUUAGGCCGAGGGCACUUUUGCCUGGGGGUCACACGUCGUUGCCCCCCCCAACCCCCUCGGGAGUUGGAUGGGACGGAUGAUGGCCUCCCGUGUGCUCAGUCACGCGGUUUGGCAUAAAUACCAAGUCCUCGGGCGACCAAACGCCCACGACAAUCGGUGGUUUGUCAAACCUCGUUUUCCUGUCGCGCGCGCGUGUGAUCGAGUGCUUUCUUAAACAAUGCGUGUCGAUCCGUCGAUGCUUCAACGCGACCCCAGUCAGGCCGGGGUAC